CUUAGGCGUGUGACUGCGUACCUUUUGUAUAAUGGGUCAGCGACUUAUAUUCUGUAGCAAGGUUAACCGAAUAGGGGAGCCGAAGGGAAACCGAGUCUUAACUGGGCGUUAAGUUGCAGGGUAUAGACCCGAAACCCGGUGAUCUAGCCAUGGGCAGGUUGAAGGUUGGGUAACACUAACUGGAGGACCGAACCGACUAAUGUUGAAAAAUUAGCGGAUGACUUGUGGCUGGGGGUGAAAGGCCAAUCAAACCGGGAGAUAGCUGGUUCUCCCCGAAAGCUAUUUAGGUAGCGCCUCGUGAAUUCAUCUCCGGGGGUAGAGCACUGUUUCGGCAAGGGGGUCAUCCCGACUUACCAACCCGAUGCAAACUGCGAAUACCGGAGAAUGUUAUCACGGGAGACACACGGCGGGUGCUAACGUCCGUCGUGAAGAGGGAAACAACCCAGACCGCCAGCUAAGGUCCCAAAGUCAUGGUUAAGUGGGAAACGAUGUGGGAAGGCCCAGACAGCCAGGAUGUUGGCUUAGAAGCAGCCAUCAUUUAAAGAAAGCGUAAUAGCUCACUGGUCGAGUCGGCCUGCGCGGAAGAUGUAACGGGGCUAAACCAUGCACCGAAGCUGCGGCAGCGACGCUGAUGCGUUGUUGGGUAGGGGAGCGUUCUGUAAGCCUGCGAAGGUGUGCUGUGAGGCAUGCUGGAGGUAUCAGAAGUGCGAAUGCUGACAUAAGUAACGAUAAAGCGGGUGAAAAGCCCGCUCGCCGGAAGACCAAGGGUUCCUGUCCAACGUUAAUCGGGGCAGGGUGAGUCGACCCCUAAGGCGAGGCCGAAAGGCGUAGUCGAUGGGAAACAGGUUAAUAUUCCUGUACUUGGUGUUACUGCGAAGGGGGGACGGAGAAGGCUAUGUUGGCCGGGCGACGGUUGUCCCGGUUUAAGCGUGUAGGCUGGUUUUCCAGGCAAAUCCGGAAAAUCAAGGCU
rnacentral:rRNA from 1 species